AAGCACGAAACUUGCCCCGAGAUGAGUUCUCCCUGAGACCUUGAGUCUCCUGAAGGAACGUUGAAGACGACGACGUUGAUAGGUCGGGUGUGUAAGCGCAGCGAUGCGUUGAGCUAACCGAUACUAAUGAACCGUGAGGCUUAACCUUACAACGCCGAAG
rnacentral:rRNA from 1 species